CAUUACAGGGUUUAACAUCCCCUAUAAACCAUUGUGAACCUACCUAUAUUUCUUUGGCAGGCGGCCCCAGGGCGGGGCCGGUAGCCGCAAGGUGCCUGCCAGAGGACCUAAACUCGUUGUUACUGUCGUCUGAGUAUCAUACCAAUAGUCAAAACCUUCAACAACGGAUCUCUUGGUUCUGGCAUCGAUGAAGAACGCAGCGAAAUGCGAUAAGUAAUGUGAAUUGCAGAAUUCAGUGAAUCAUCGAAUCUUUGAACGCACAUUGCGCCCACCAGCAUUCUGAUGGGCAUGCCUGUUCGAGCGUCAUUUCAACCCUCAGGCUCCGCCUGGUGUUGGGGCCCUGUGUUUCUACAGGCCCCGAAAGACAGUGGCGGGCUCCGUAGGACCCCGAGCGUAGUACAUCUCUCGCUCCGGGCGUUCGCGGCUCCCAGCCGUCAACCCUAUUUUAUACUAUAAAGUUGACCUCGGAUCAGGUAGGAAUACCC
rnacentral:rRNA from 1 species